AUCCUUUUGCGGUUCACAAGUGUGAUGACCGGAGUGCACAUGCAUGCGAGAUGUGCCUCCCUUGAACUUUGACAUCAGCACAUUACCUGUCUGAUG
ensembl:snoRNA